rnacentral:rRNA from 1 species
UCGAGAAUUUUUCUCAAUGGGCGAAAGCCUGAAGGAGCGACGCCGCGUGGGGGAUGAAGGGUUUCGAUCCGUAAACCCCUGUCAUUUGUGAACAAUGGUUAUUAUUUAAAAGAUGAUGACUUGAUAGUAAUGAAAGAGGAAGGGCCGGCUAACUCUGUGCCAGCAGCCGCGGUAAUACAGAGGUCCCGAGCGUUGUUCGGAUUCACUGGGCGUAAAGGGUGCGUAGGUGGCGAUGGAGGUUUGAUGUGAAAGCUCCGGGCUCAACCCGGAAAUGGCAUUGAAUACUCUAGCGCUUGAGGUUUGGAGGGGGGACUGGAAUUCUCGGUGUAGCAGUGAAAUGCGUAGAUAUCGAGAGGAACACCAGUGGCGAAGGCGGGUCCCUGGACAACACCUGACACUGAGGCACGAAAGCUAGGGGAGCAAAC